UUCAACUUGAUUCGAUUUUUUCAUUCCGCCUCCUCCCUUCUCUCAGACUCCCUCUCACACUGCCUCUCUCAAUCACUUUUGCCUCUCUCUUCCAGAUUUAUCACUCGAUCUCUCUCAGUCACUCUCUCUGUCUCAGCCGCUCUCUCUCAGUCACUCACUCUCUCUCUCUUACCGCGCUCUCUGUCAGCCACUGUCUCUCAAUCACUCACGCUCUCUCUUAAACACUCACUCUCGUCUCCCUCAACCGGUUUCUCUCUCUCUCUCUCUCUCUCAGCCGAUUUUUCUCACCCGCUCUCUCUCUUUCCAGAUUUUUCUCACCCGAUCUCUCUCUUUCCAGAUUUUUCUCACCCGAUCUCUCAGUCACUCAGUCACUCAGUCUCUCUGUGUCUCUCUCACCCGUUCACUCUGAGUCUCUCUCGCUCGCUCUCAGUUUGAGAAUUGAUUUUGAGAUCAUAGGAAACGAUUGGCUUGCUGUAGGUAAUUUUUCUGAUCUGACACUGUUUUUGUUUGAUUUUUUUCUGGUGGUGUUGUAAUUUCUGGUAAUAUCUAGGAUCAUAGAAUUGAUUUUGGGACAGAAAUUAUUGUAAUAUUGAGUAAUUAUUUAUGGGAUAGAAUUGAUUUUG